GGUUAAGCGACUAAGCGUACACGGUGGAUGCCCUGGCAGUCAGAGGCGAUGAAGGGCGUGCUAAUCUGCGAUAAGCGCCGGUAAGGUGAUAUGAACCGUUAUAACCGGCGAUACCCGAAUGGGGAAACCCAGUGUGAUUCGUCACACUAUCAUUAACUGAAUCCAUAGGUUAAUGAGGCGAACCGGGGGAACUGAAACAUCUAAGUACCCCGAGGAAAAGAAAUCAACCGAGAUUCCCCCAGUAGCGGCGAGCGAACGGGGAGGAGCCCAGAGCCUGAAUCAGCAUGUGUGUUAGUGGAAGCGUCUGGAAAGGCGCGCGAUACAGGGUGACAGCCCCGUACACAAAAGCGUAUGUGCUGUGAGCUCGAUGAGUAGGGCGGGACACGUGGUAUCCUGUCUGAAUAUGGGGGGACCAUCCUCCAAGGCUAAAUACUCCUGACUGACCGAUAGUGAACCAGUACCGUGAGGGAAAGGCGAAAAGAACCCCGGCGAGGGGAGUGAAAAAGAACCUGAAACCGUGUACGUACAAGCAGUGGGAGCACCCUUCGG
rnacentral:rRNA from 1 species